rnacentral:rRNA from 1 species
AUUGAACGCUGGCGGCAGGCCUAACACAUGCAAGUCGAACGCGUGGCGGACGGGUGAGUCAUGUCUGGGAAACUGCCCGAUGGCGGGGGAUAACUACUGGAAACGGUAGCUAAUACCGCAUACCAUCGGAUUUGCCCAGGUGGGAUUAGCUAGUAGGUGGGGUAACGGCUCACCUAGGCGACGAUCCCUAGCUGGUCUGAGAGGAUGACCGGCCACACUGGAACUGAGACACGGUCCAGACUCCUACGGGAGGCAGCAGUGGGGAAUAUUGCACAAUGGGCGAAAGCCUGAGAGAGCCAUGCCGCGUGUAUGAAGAAGGCCUUCGGGUUGUAAAGUACUUUCAGCGAGGAGGCGGUACUCGAAGAGGAAGCACCGGCUAACUACGUGCCAGCAGCCGCGGUAAUUC